UACGAAGGGGGCUAGCGUUGUUCGGAAUCACUGGGCGUAAAGGGCGCGUAGGCGGCCGUUCAAGUCGGGGGUGAAAGCCUGUGGCUCAACCACAGAAUUGCCUUCGAUACUGGACGGCUCGAGACCGGAAGAGGUCAGUGGAACUGCGAGUGUAGAGGUGAAAUUCGUAGAUAUUCGCAAGAACACCAGUGGCGAAGGCGGCUGACUGGUCCGGUUCUGACGCUGAGGCGCGAAAGCGUGGGAGCAA
rnacentral:rRNA from 1 species